UCUCUCUCCCUCUUAGUUCUUCGAAAUACAUGCUAGCUAGAGGUGUACAAGUAGUGGAUGUGUGUGUUACAUAAGCAAACAUAACGUACUAUGAGUAAGUUGUGACAGUGUGUGUACAAAAUCUCUCUUGUUGAUAUAGUCUGAAAAUUCUUCUUUUGUGUUAUCUAGAUAUUCGAGUAAAUAUUCGUGAAAAUCUUAGAUAUGGAUUCUGGAAACAGCGGGAGCAUACAAUCCUCAAGCGGCGCAGACGAUGACUACGAGUCACGCGCCGGUGAAUCCACCUUUAGCAACCCAUCCUCCACCACAACCACAACCAACAACCCACUACUAUUCUCCCAAUCGUCCACCAUGUUUGACCCUCUAUCCAACUACUUCGACCCACCCAUCCCAUCUCGACCCACCCACCAAAACCAAAACCAAAACCAAAACACAUCCCUCCUCAAUCUAGACAUGCCUUCAUGGCCCAAAUCCCAACCCAAUCCUUUCUUCACACCCCAAACUCCCAUGUCCUCAUUCCCCCAUAUUUCAGAACCCAUUCCCACAACAACACCAGGGAAUAAUACGAAUCAAGUCAUCCAGCAAGAUCAGACUAGUCAGACUCAGACACGAAACCCGAAGAAAAGAUCUCGCGCCUCUAGGCGCGCACCCACCACUGUGUUAACCACAGACACCUCCAAUUUCCGAGCCAUGGUUCAGGAAUUCACUGGAAUCCCCGCGCCUCCUUUCACUUCCUCACCAUUCCCGAGAACCCGGCUCGAUCUCUUUACUUCCCCUUCUCCCUCAUCCUUCAGAUCUCAACCCUCGAGUUUCAAUCAAAAUCAUCUCCUCCGUCCAUUCCCUCAGAAAUUCCAACCCCAACUCUCACCGUUCACAACUAACCACAACAAUAUUAACACNGAAACGAGUCAAGAGUGAAACUAGCUAGAGGUGUACAAGUAGUGGAUGUGUGUGUUACAUAAGCAAACAUAACGUACUAUGAGUAAGUUGUGACAGUGUGUGUACAAAAUCUCUCUUGUUGAUAUAGUCUGAAAAUUCUUCUUUUGUGUUAUCUAGAUAUUCGAGUAAAUAUUCGUGAAAAUCUUAGAUAUGGAUUCUGGAAACAGCGGGAGCAUACAAUCCUCAAGCGGCGCAGACGAUGACUACGAGUCACGCGCCGGUGAAUCCACCUUUAGCAACCCAUCCUCCACCACAACCACAACCAACAACCCACUACUAUUCUCCCAAUCGUCCACCAUGUUUGACCCUCUAUCCAACUACUUCGACCCACCCAUCCCAUCUCGACCCACCCACCAAAACCAAAACCAAAACCAAAACACAUCCCUCCUCAAUCUAGACAUGCCUUCAUGGCCCAAAUCCCAACCCAAUCCUUUCUUCACACCCCAAACUCCCAUGUCCUCAUUCCCCCAUAUUUCAGAACCCAUUCCCACAACAACACCAGGGAAUAAUACGAAUCAAGUCAUCCAGCAAGAUCAGACUAGUCAGACUCAGACACGAAACCCGAAGAAAAGAUCUCGCGCCUCUAGGCGCGCACCCACCACUGUGUUAACCACAGACACCUCCAAUUUCCGAGCCAUGGUUCAGGAAUUCACUGGAAUCCCCGCGCCUCCUUUCACUUCCUCACCAUUCCCGAGAACCCGGCUCGAUCUCUUUACUUCCCCUUCUCCCUCAUCCUUCAGAUCUCAACCCUCGAGUUUCAAUCAAAAUCAUCUCCUCCGUCCAUUCCCUCAGAAAUUCCAAC
rnacentral:lncRNA from 1 species